rnacentral:misc_RNA from 1 species
CCCCCUCUACCCCUCCAAAAAGCCCCAAAAACCGAUCCCGAAGCCGAAGCGUUGCCGAAGAGCCGGCAGCGGGGCGGCGACGCGGCGCAUGCGCACUGGGCGCCGCCUCCUCCGUCAGAACAUGGCUUCCUCGGAACUCACCAUGGAGGAGUGCGUCCCGUCUCCCGGCACCCCAGACUCUAGGAAGAGGCCCCUAGACAUCGACUCCGACGAUGCCAUAUCCAAGAGAUCGCACUAUAUUCCUGCAGACAUGCAGAGUGACGGAACAUAUCACCUUAAGAUCCUUGUUCCAAGCGUGGCAGCUGGUGCCAUAAUUGGCAAGGGAGGUGAAACUAUUGCUCAACUCCAGAAAGAUACAAAUGCCCGAGUCAAAAUGUCAAAGGCAAAUGAUUUUUACCCAGGUACAACAGAACGAGUUUGUCUGAUCACAGGCAACGUGGAUGCCAUAUUGACGGUCUUGUCGUUUAUCAUGGAGAAAAUCAAGGAGAAGCCAGAUCCAAAUGCCAAGCCAGCCAUUGACUUCGAUAACAAACAGACGGCAGAGAGAGAGAAACAGAUUUCAAGAAGUGCUCGCUCCCCACAGGUGAAGAUUUUGGUCCCAAACAGCACAGCUGGGAUGAUCAUUGGGAAGGGUGGCACUUACAUCAAGCAGAUCAAGGAAGAAAGUGGAGCCUACGUUCAGAUCUCUCAGAAGGCCAAAGAUCAGUCUCUGGCUGAACGGUGCAUCACAGUCAUCUCCAAUGAUGUUGACAACAGCAAGAAUGCAUGCCUGAUGAUCCUGGCCAAGAUCGUGGAGGACCCGCAGAGUGGGACAUGUCUCAACGUGAGCUAUGCGGACAUCACAGGCCCUGUCGCGAACCCCAACCCCACCGGAUCUCCGUUUGCUAAUUCUCCAGGUGGACAAAGCACACAGAAUGGCACCAUGGGAGCGCUGUCCAACCCUCUCUCUGCAGUGAGUGGAUUGGGGAAUUUGCUUGGAGGUGGAGUAAAUCUUACCCUAAACCUAAGCUCAGCCUAUCCCAAUGGAGGUGCCGGGAACCCUGUGGUUACCGGACAGCUGUUAGAACAUGUACGCUCCCUCCUGCGCUCUUCGGGCUUUGCUGACCAGUCCAAUGCCGAAGUGUGUCAGGCCAUUAGCACUCUGAUCAACUAUGGUAUCAUUGGCCUGGGGCUUGGUCUCGGCAAUCCCUCUGGUCACCAGGGCGGGCAAGGUGGGCAAGGACAGCAGGGGCAAGGAAAUAUGGGGAACAUGAAUAUAAACAUGAACAACUCAAAUAACCCAAAUGACUCUUAUCAUGGCUCAUCAAUGAGUAAUGGGAACAAUGGCCCUUUUGGGCCCAUAGGCACAACAGUUGCAUCAGGCCUUAACCUUGGACAGGGCUUAGGGGGACCAACAUCUCCUCAGCGACAGGUGGACCGAUUCAACUCGGAACCCCCUUUUGAUCCCUUUCGUCGGCAGUCGACAGAGAUGGGGGCGAGCCUUCCGCUGAACAGUAACUCUUUUGGGUUGGGGACCCCUUUAAGGAAGAGCCCCUCUCCAGGAGAGCUUCCUCCAGGAGCACCAGAAGGUAGCAAGAAAGUUGAGAUGGAGGUUGGUGAGCACAUUGUUGGCGCUAUCUUGGGCCCCGGGGGAAAGUCCCUGGUAGAAAUACAGCACAUGUCCGGCACCACAAUACAAAUCUCCAAGAAGGAUAAUGGGUGACCCCAAUGUCUUGAAUGAUGAUUAAGCUGGUGUGUAUGUGUGGAGCUGACAGUGCCAGGCUGUGGUGGUGUGGCGGCGGCAGGAGGGUGAGAGACUCCACGCAGGCUCGGCACUCCUCUCCACACAGUUCUUAAAUGUCCACAGUGGAAAAUCCAGUAUACAAUUACUGAUGAAAAGGUGAAAAUAUGUACAUCUAUAUAGUGAUGCUAUCAGUUUUAUCAGGUUUCGUCAUGUGUGGUGGUCACCAUCUACACACACAGGCAUUGUGGCAUGCUGGGUGUGAAGAGGUUUGGUGCUACGGGGCAUUGCUUGAGUGGAAUGAGGAUGAAAGCUGGUAACACUUGAGUACAGGUCAUGUUGGAGGUGCUGUCGUGUUCCCAGCCGAAUGGAUCUCGGAUGUUGAAAUUUUGCCACUGGUAGGAAAAAGGAAGAUCCUUCUGGGAAUGGGUAUAGUUUUAGUGAGAAUCACUUUGUAUAGAAGGAAGAAAAAUAUAUAUGUUGUUGUCCUUUUUCAUUAUAAAUCUACAUCCUGCUUCUUCUGGGUUCUUUGGGUUGGAUAUAUUUUUUUUUUUUUUAGUUUAAAUAGAGUAAAGUUCUGUGAAGCUCUGAUGUCAUAAUAUAAUAUAAUAUAAAAGGUACUCAUGCAGUAUGUUGAAUAGUGAUGCCUUUUUGUUUGCAGAUGUUAAGAGUUCAAUCUUAAUGUGAAAGCAUUAUUGAUAUGGUGAAUUUUGUAUCAGUAACAUUUCAUGGGAUUGGACUUUCUAUAUCAUUCUAGAAGAGUAAAUAUUUUUUCAGUGAAAAAAUAAACUAACAGAUUUUUUUUUAUAUUAUGGAUUUUAAUUGAUAUUUACUUACCUCUGUUUAAAAGAUUUUUUUUUUCAAGCAAUUUCAAGUUAAAUCAAUUAAACAGUUCUUGCAGUUUUCAAUUUUCAAAUCACAAGAUGGUUUUAAUGAUAAGUAAAAGUAAUAUUGGUAUUGAUGAAUUCAAUUCAUGAAUUUUCAGUCAUUGGACGUUACUUCAGAAUCAUGAUUGUCCUUUUAAUGCAUGUUCUGUAGUCCUUUCAUAGCUUAACAAUACAGGAAUACAGAAAAAAUGGCAAAAUUUCUGUAGUGUAGUCUUCUUCUGUUUAGUAAGACAUUAUUCUUGAUUUUCCUAUUUCAUCUGAACACUUCUUAAUAGCAAAAUCAGUUAGUAGACAGAGUUCUUGUUACGACUUCGUGAUUGUUAUGGAAAAGAUGAAGUCAUAUAUAGGUCUGUAACUUGGUGAUUUUGAAUUGAAACUGUAAUGCAAUUCAGGUUUUUUAUCACUUUGUGAAACUUAUUGAAACUUUCUCCAAAUUUUAUUAUCUUUUAAAGAUUGGUUGAUUUACGAAUUGCUAGUAUAGAGAAGUAGAAGUCUCUAACAGUGUUGGGUGAAUAUUCUGAAAAUCUCUUACACAUGCAUAAACAAGAUAUCUUAACCAUGAAAAGAACAUGCAUAAUGACAUGUCAUUUACUCAUAAAUACAAGCAUAAACAUGAAUUUUAGUCUUUUGGGGGUUUCUAUAUAAAAUGUUCAGGAAAUAGACGUAUUUUUAUCAAUUUUCAAUAUGUAAAGUACAUCGAAAGUGGUAUAGCCUGAAGAUGCUUAGAAGAUACACUGGUAAGUAAUUUUGACUGCCUUAGCUACAUGAAGCUUGUGAUAGAGCGAAUACGUCACACAUUCAGUAUUUCGAGGGUGGUGGGAGGUAAGAAUGAAUUGAGGAUGAAAGAAAUGAAUAAUAAGUUUAGAGGGAAAUUUUCAACCUUUUUCAUUGUAUGAAAUCAAUGCAGACAUCCAUGGGGGAAACUAUAUGGACUUGCACUUGACACUCUGAUUCACACUCACUCACACUAACUCAAACCGCUACGAUUUUCUUCCUCGCUUCUCUGUAAUCUCUCUUUCAUUUAAAGGUCUUGAAGGUAUCUUAAAUUCGCUACACCAUCAUUACAUCUUUUCAACAGUGAGACCAUUCAUAAGAAUAUUGUUUUAGAGAAUGUUGAGCAGAGUAUCAUUUUUUGUUAUUUGUAACACGGACACAUAGUAACAUGCCGCAAACCUUCCUCACUUAACUCAUAAAAUCAGCACCUAGACAUCACGCAUCAGAUUGUUAGCACCCUGUCUCAAAGAAGGGCACAUUCUUUGAUCAUCCUUAGGCAAAGGAAUAUGUUGAUGAGCACAUUGUUUAUCUACUCAAGUGCUUAAGGAAUAUGAUGUAUCAAAUGUUGAUUUUUUUGGUUAAAUAUAUAUUUUAUAUUGAA